AAGCAUACUUUGAAUGACCAUCAUUCUUCUUGGUAAUCCAAGUCACUACAAAUUAUUAUUAUGACGUAGGGAACGGAUGCAUACCUACAUUUUGAUUCCUUCGUCAAGUGAGUGUAUACUACAAGUUGGCUUAGUUUACCUGUUGAUGAGAAAUCCAGGAGCGAGAAUCACCUGUAUCUAUUACUAACCUAAGUGUAUAAAACCUAACUAAGUAUGUUGUUUUAUAUCAGUUUAGUACAAUUCGUAAGCGUUAGCGCACGUAGAAUAAAGUAAAAGGAGUUGUCAUAAUAUUAUAUCGGAGUGACGUAGGUACAGUAAUAUAAUAUGUAUAUUAUAUUAAUAGGACGUAGGCGUUUCAAAUAUCACAUCCCGUGAGUAAUAGACUAUACUAUAAAGUUCUACCGAUUAAUAUGGUUGUAAUAAAAAUGUCUGACGUAGUGACGACACAGCCAAGGCAAGAGGCAAAGAUUAAUUCCGCAGACCGGCCUUCACCUGAAAUUGAAUAUGAAAUAAAACUUCCUCGUCCUCAGGAAAAGGAUGAUGCAGGAUGUUGCUUCUUCUGUUGCUGUGGAGAUAGUCAAGAUGAAGAUAACAAAGAAAGAAGAAGAUAUCGGAGUAGCUUCAAUAAUUAUACUAGUGAUACUAUGAUGUUCAGUGAUACAAACAUGGCCAUCAGUGACCACAAUCAUCAUAUAAACAUACACAACGACCACGUGUAUAGCUCAACUCACGACACUGGCGGGUCUACAGACCACUCAGGAGGUGGUUUUUCUGGGGGAGAUUGUGGAGGUGGAGAUUUCUCAUCAGGUGGUGAUUGUGGGGGAGGAGAUUGUGGUGGCGGUGUUGAUUAAAGGAUUAUUAUUAUUCAAAUCAAUGAUGAUACAAAACAAAAUCAGUAUGUAGUUAAUUAGGUAGGUUAAACAAAAAUCUAAAUCGUUAAUUUGUAAUAAUUCAAUGCAAGUGAUUACAAAUCAUUGCUAUACUAAAAGGCUUUAGAAAACCCUUCAAUCAAGUACCUCUUUAUCAAGAAUUUCAACGAAUACAUACUCGUAGGUAUAGACAAUCUCUUCGAAUGACGUAAUGCAAUACGUCUUUCAACGCACCUCCAGUCUAACAUUCCUAGUAGAUUGUAGUUGAAACAUUGUUAUAUGUAUCAAAAAACAAGUAACAGUAACAACUUGUCUUUUAAUGCAGCUUUCUUACUCUAAGCAGUUACAGAAAUCGGUUCAAUCGAGACAAUAAAUCUGUUGUGCCCUUUGCAAAUUCCUUAUUCUUUGAUGACUUGUGCCACAUUCCAAUUUCCAGUUCCACGAACGAUGCUCCCGCUGGGUCCUCACUCCUCAUUAAACGUUGAAACACAAUGAAUAGAUUGGUUUUGCUUCAUUAGCCAUUUAAUACAUUCGUGUUUAUUAAAUUAACAUAAGAUAUACGUAAAUAGUUCAAAAAUACAUUGGUUUAUACGUGUGCAAAAUCGACACCAAACCCAUCGUUUAUCAUAAUUACUGAGUGGGUUGUGGAAUUCCCAACCUGAUUUUUAAGAAACAAGUUUUCGAUUUUCCUGUUAUUCACGCGAAUGUUUAUAUAAUAUAUAUUGCAUAUAUGUAUCAGUGUUCAUAUGAAACUUGAAAGCUCAAAAUGUUCAAAUAGGUAGAUAAUUAAAAGUUGCACCAAGAUUUUGUAAAACUUAAAAGUUUAAAUUGUUUUUGUAAAUUAAAAAUAAUGUCCGAAUCUGAAACGAUAUCAAAGCAGCCAGUAUCGAGAGGAUUAGAAAUUGCGCUUGAUAAUUGGAAUAAGGACAUAGCUAGACGUGAAAAAGAGAAAGAAGAACUUGCGAUGAAAGAAACAACUCCUUUUCAACCGCAUAUUGAAACAGAGAUACCUCGAGAAGAUGUAAGGGAGAGAAAAAAAUGUUGUUCAAGUGAUUGUUCGAGUGACUGUUGUUCAUGUAUGUACCCAUGUUUGAGGUCCACCAGAGAUAUCUGUGAUUGUGCAUGUCCAGUACUUGCGUUUUGCGCUGAAAUGUUAGAGUGUAUUUGUUUAUGCUGCUCAAUUUUCGGCGGGAACUCUUGACCUUGGGCCUAAUUGUCUAACGGAGUUCAUUGAUCGUAAAGUUCAUACGAUCGGCUACGAUCAACGAUCAAUCGUAACUUUACAUUGGUAUUGUCUAAUUUAGUUCAUUAUAUGAAGACCGGAUGGUGAACGAUGAACUGAAAUCAUUCAUGAAGAUUGCGUAUUGUUUAUGCAAAACGAUAGUGAAACUAUCGUUAAUAAUAUUAUCAAAUUUAAGUCAAACUCCAUAAUAAUGCAUAUAUUUUAACAAAGUUUUAUGUCUUUUGUUUAAAACAUUAAAGAAGCAUUAAAUUUCACGAAAAAUAUCUACUAUUGAAGAAAAUAGCGUGAGAAAAUGGUACAUGCAACUCGAGUAACAAAACGCAUUUAACGAAUUUAACCAAGGGCUAUUUGGACUAUUUGGUAAUCUCCCUGUUGUCUGUGUAGGCUAGUGUCAAAAUAACGGGGUAUCCUAUUAGUCUGUGGUGAAACAUAGCAUAUUAAUAACCUGUGGAUUAGAAAUUUUAUUUUUUAAUUUAUCAAAACAAAACAAAAUUUUUAUUUUUUAGGUUUUAAAGAGAAUUUAGAAAUUGAGCAAAGUUUUACUAAAUUAUAUUGAUCUUAGGAGCAAAGUUUACUUCGUUUGUGUUAUUGUUAAUCUAAAAUAUAAAAGUAAACAAAAAAGAAAACUACCUCUAUAUAAUUUUGUCGAUGUCCAUUUCUUAAGAAGUUUCUCAUUAAAACAACCCUUAACUCAGGCAAGGCAGGGCUAAGGUGGUUAGCGUAACUACAAGUGGAGUUAGCCAACUGAAGAACAAUCAACAAUGCCCGAUUAAUAAGUGAUCGCGCUGCUGUCUACUACAUGUCCCUGCACUAGUUACAGCAGUAAUUUCUUUGUUGGGAAGUAUUUAGCACAUCCGGGCUGCGCAAGAGGAGAGGACUAAAUUGAUUAUUAUGAACAGACUAUUACGAUGAACCACUGAUAUUGAGAGAGACAUGAAGAUGAGUGCUUUGACAACAAGACUGACUAGCUGAGCCAGCUUAAGAAUUAUGUGCUGUGUGUGUGUGUAAUUCCAGGAGCUCUCUAUGUCAGCUAUCCAUCUAAAAUAUUCUUACUCAUUUUUGUUAAUUAUAAAAUAAAUUUGAUUAUUCACUAUGUAACUUCAUUGUACCUAUCCUGUGAUUGACUGAAGCUGUUAGAAAGGUAGCAUCUGUAAUAAUUUAUUUACGGUAAAACAUAUUUAAAAAUAAAUAUGCUUUAACAUUUAAGUAUGGCCAAUAUGUUGUCUAGUACAGUGAGCAGGGCUGAACCCAUGAUCCCUCAGUGUCUAGUCUGGCCCCUCUAUGGAGUAGCUAGUUAGGCUUUAGCAGAUUUAUAUCCUAAUUUGGUAAUACUCGUUUUUCUGAUUUAAGAAAAUAUACUAAUCAUCAAAACAGUGUCUGCAAGUUACUGUACAGGCCGACUGGAUGAGAAGUAUAAAUUUGAUUAUUUUUAAGCUUUGUGGUUUCCGGGUUUAAAAAAUGUCUAACUGAAAGUCUAUGUCUACUGUAUUUAUUAUUAUUAUAAUAAAUAAACUUAAAAAAUCUUUUUUUUUAUGAACUUCCAACCCCUAUUACACCCUCAGAGGUGUCAUUUUCAUAAUUCUUAGAAUACUAGUUGUCUAGAUACUGUAAUAAAAAGAUACAGUUCGGGGGAUUGUAGGGGUAAGCACUGGACCUACUGAACCAAUUUUGAAGAUUAUUUUACCAAUAAAAAUCCACAUUUGAGUAUUAUAGGCCAUGUAUUUCUUCCCACGGGAACAGGAAUUAUGUGGGUGAAACUGCAGGGGGGUGAACAUACACAGGUAUUAUAAAUGUAUUUUUUACAACUACACUUUUUGAAUAUUUUAUUUAAUUAUUGUAAUGGUAAAAAAAAUAUUAAUAGUAAAAUGUUAAACUAAAAGCUUUAGUUUUAGAAAAAACUACAACAAAACAAACUCAGCAAAGUAAGUAUUCUUUUAUUUUUAAAUAUCAAAGACCAAAUCAAAUAUCAUCAGCAUUUCACAAUCUAUGCAAAUAUUUUGAUAAUACACACACAUUUAUGAUUUGACCAGAUAACAGGGUCAUCAGUACAAUGUCCUGUCAGCUAAAAGCCUUUGCCAUCUUUUCUUCAGCACACCAAUAUGUUAUUCCACUGUAUUGCAGGUGCUAUUUGCAAUAUUGGAGUCUGCAGUUAUAGGGCAUAUUCCAAAUCUCCUGUAAAGCAAAAUUGUUAAUAUUGAGCAUAUUAUAAAAUAUACACAUCACUAUUUAGUCUCAAUGUAAGUGUAGUUUGUGUACUAAGAUAAUAUAGCAGACAGACAAGCUUCGCUUUGACUCAUUCCCUAUUCCUAUCCUAUUCUACUCCCACCCAUUGGCUUAUCUAUUAUUAUUUCCUAUUCCUAUUCGGUAGCUCAGAAUCCUAGGAUUCCUAGGGUGGGCAUGCACUAAUGGAAAAUGUAAAUGUACCUAUGAGCGAUGACGAAAGAGUUCGUUCGCCAUAAUCAUACUUUUAAAAAUGAAAUUUGAUUCCUUUUUGCUUAACUUUGCCAGCAAACUUAACUAAACCACACACUUAUGCCAUGGAACACAGAUCCAAACAUAUUGGAUACAACAACAUGCAAGAUGUCGCAGAAAUCGAGUUUAUGUCGCUCUAUGGACUAAGUGUCUCUUUGUGUGGUACGUCCAAAGAAAGUGUGUGUAAGACAUUGGAUGCUGGAAGAAAGAUGCAGUUUGAUCCCCAGUUCUUGGAGGAGUGAGAUGUUGUUUCGAAACUGUGUCCAGGAUAUGCAAGCAUUCUUCUCCAACACCACAUUUCUAGAGUGUGUAUCUUCUUUUUCUCACUUUCUCUCAGAGUCCAAGUCUCAGCAUCCUAUAUAAAUCGAUUAAUGGCACUCAAUUAACUUCAUUGUUUUGACUUUAAAAGUUCAUUGCAAAGAAUAUAUUAUUUAUUACUCUUUCUAAUAGAGUUCAUUGUUUACAAACAAAGCACUAAACACUUCGCAAAGUUUCGUACUAAAAAUGCUAACUGUGGACGGGGAGACUGAAUUGAGAGAUUUAGAAUGGAAAAAAAUAUUAAUUUUAGAUAUUUAAUAAAAUAUAAAUUAUUAUUUUGGAAUUUUGGACAUCCACAAUUUGUCCUUUUUACGAUCAAAGGUGACUCAAGACCCAUCGUAAGUUUUUGACAUAGGCCAUGAAGAUAAAACUUUAAACAAUUCGAAGACAAUCGCAAAUAACUGUCAAAUCAUAUAAAAUCAUUCACUCUUCGUAUAAAAAUAACGAUCUAAUCGUAAUGAACUAACUAUGCCCAACCGAUGGCUUUCCAUUGGCUUACACAAUCCGAAAUAGCUGUUUGACAAGUAAAAACGUACGAUUUCAACUGUCAAAUUCAAUCGUUUGCGUUAGACAAUUAGGCCCAAGGUACCUAUACAAUAUCAAUACUGUUUUAAUUUGAACUUAUUAUAAAAUCAUUAUAUAUUUUAAUAAGUAGGUACAAAGAUUUUAUACUAAUAGAUACGUGUACUUUUUCUAAGAUUAAAUAUGUCAAUUAUCACUAGCGCGUCGAAACUGAGGCGAACACAAGUGGCUGAUUGCCUUAAUAUUUUAUUUUAUUAAAUGGCUAAAUAUUGUCUACAAUGUCUACAAAAGUAUAGACACUAUAUAUAUACUCAGAGGUACAAUUAUCCGUCCACUUCUAUAUAUUCGCGUCAUAUUAAAAAACGCGGAUAAUUGUGCUUCUGAGUAUAUAUAAAUAAAUAUAUAUAAUGUAAGUAAAAAAAUUGUGUAUGUGUACGCAAUGGAGUAGAUAAAUUGGUAUCAUUUUUUGGUUUACCUGGUUUUUGGCGGGAAAUCGUAAGAAUUACUUAAAGCUCUCUUUUUAUUUUCAUUCAUUUGCUGCAGUUUAGAGUUUUAUUGCGUAAAGUAGAAUGCACUUUGUUCAAUUUAGUUCAGAAAAGGUGCACAAGUGAAGUGGAGAAUAAGUAAGAAAGUUUUAAGUUAUUGCAUAAAUUGUCUCGCAAGACUAUUAGUUUUCGUAAGGUUGCCUUCGCCAUAUUAAAGCAUGACUUGAUCAGUGGCUUGCACGCCAUCGAUGCAAAAAUGCUCUGCAUAUCCUGAGAACUCACUAAAAAUCUGCAUUAGAAAAGGAAUUUUCUAUUAUGUACGCCAUUGGACUUGACUGAGGACUUUGAUUGACGAUGGACUACAUUUAACCACAUUCGCAGAAGUGCUUGUUAUUACCGAUGCACCUACUCUAUGUCAACACGCCGAACUGUGCAGCUAUUAUUUAUAACCCUGUUAGAAUAAUUAUUUUUUCGUGUAACGUAAGCCAUAACUUUCAAAAAUUGCUGUAAAAUAUAAUGUAAUGUAAAGGUAUUCAGUCACAAAUGGAAAAAGGAAAUGUAGCAAAGAGUAGAGUAAGUAUAAUGUAGAGUUUGCCUAAUGAAACUCGAGAAAACGGAGCGCAUUCCGCAAAGUAUAGUGCAAAUAUUGGCAUAACUCAGUUUGAUACUUGUAAUUUUUAAACAUACCUUUAUGUUUUCACACAUAUGCGUUUUUAACAAACAUUAGUAGAUUGUUUUUUAAUUUGCCACGCAAUUUCAGUCUCUACUUUCAGUAACUAAACUUUAAUAAGUUAAGUGAGUAUAUUAAAUUAAUUAAAUUAAUAUGCACUUUUGAAAUUGAAAAAAAGUACUUGUCACGUUUGGAUAUAACGUACAAUUUUGUGUUUGUUUUUUAUUACUGAUUUUUUUGUAAAAAGGUAGGUUUAACUUACCUAGGUCGAUUACAUGGACUAUUUUGUAGACAGAAAAACUUAAUUAUAGGUAGGUAAUUAGGAACUAGUUUUUUUAUGAUUGUCUAUGUUUAUUUAAUACGAAUAAGUAUUAAACUGAAUAUAAUCUC